rnacentral:rRNA from 1 species
ACAUGCCUAAAGCAUAGCGUUAAUGCACCGGAUCCCAUUAGAACUCUGCAGUUAAGUGUGCUCAGGACAGAGUAGUACUAGGACGGGUGACCUCCCAAGAAGUCCUAGUGUUUUACAUGCC